UCCGAUUCUUCCUCCCUAGGCUCUGGGCUCGGCGUCUCAGGCUCAGGAGUUUGGAAGCUACAAUCAGCAGAAGCAGAAUGGGUCACUGUUGCUAGGACAAGAAAAACAACAGCAGCAACGGCAGCUCGGACUAACUUCCUGUAGGCUACCUGCCCAGCACCGGCAGCAGACACAGUGAGGGACCAGCUGGGGAUGGAGACCAAACCAGAGUUAAACGGAGAGCGAAUAUUCCUCCGCCCUGAGGUGGCUCAAGUAAAUCCCGUAAUGCAGCUCUAAAUCACUAUGCAUUACUUGCCUUGACUGACAGGUGUCUCAGCCUAUAGUCUUUCUGGCUGCACUGAUAUGGGGUCAAAAGCAUUUUGGGACUUAAAAAUGGAGUCACACGCCAGAGAAAGUUGAAGAGUUCUUAGCACAAAGACACACCCACACACACCUGUUUUCGGUGGUAGUGUUCGUUGGCGAGCUUGUCAGUUCUUGCUCUCUGCUUUCGUCAUCCUCAAAAGGCUGAAGGUUUACAAUCUCCACAUGCUGAGGCUCCAUACCCAGGUCCAGAAUCACCACCCUAUUGCUUUCACACAGCUGAAACACAAACACACAAAGACCUUAAUUAGAAAAUGGAGAGUUUAGCAUGCUGUGCAUGGCCAUGUUGUGCAGGAAAAGACAUCUAAAGAGCAGUAUUCGUAGAAGGAAUUAGCCAGUUCUCUUUAUUCAAAGCAAACUGGAAGUCCACUUUUUUAAUCAUAGCAAUAGGAAUUGUGCUUCCAAGUAUGCUGUCAGUGUAACAUGCAGUGCAAGACUACUGCUGUGUGAGUACUGACCACCACAGCUAAGAGUAAAAUAUGUAAGUAUACCUGAUGGUGGAUGAUAACAGAGGUCAGCUAGUGAACUGGGUGAAUGAAAGAACAUGUCUGUGUGUCUCUGUCUAUGGUGGAAUGAGGGUGGUGCGUACAGUCUAGGGCUCCACAGAGCUCCCGAGUGGCACCCACUGGAGAGCAGCCCAGUCCCAGCUAGCAAUCCUGACUGAAUCCAGAAGAUAAACCUCUUAAAGCCAACCUGGCUUUUUCCACAUUCCCACAAAUCCUCUGUUAUUGUCCCAGAUUACACUCAGAGAUGUUACGACCACAAUGGCAGAUUAGCUGCUGUGUGGCAGACAGGCCUGGGAUUCCAGACAGUGAAUUUAACAGAGAGAGCUGUGUAUACUGAAGCUGUGUGUCCUUCUCUUCCACCUGCUGCUCCUGUAGCCUCCAGCACACUGCACUGUACCAGUACUAUGAGCUGACAGAUACCAAGGCCAGUAUUAUUCUGGACAAACAUUCAUAGGCAACAAUAAAAAAUAAAAACGUAUUGAGUAA